ACAGAGGGUGCAAGCGUUGUUCGGAAUUAUUGGGCGUAAAGGGCGCGUAGGCGGUGCGGUAAGUCUGUAGUGAAAUCUCUGGGCUCAACUCAGAGUCUGCUGCAGAAACUGCCGUGCUUGAGUAUGGGAGAGGGAGGUGGAAUUUCAGGUGUAGCGGUGAAAUGCGUAGAUAUCUGAAGGAACAUCAGUGGCGAAAGCGACCUCCUGGACCAAUACUGACGCUCAGGUGCGAAAGCGUGGGGAGCAAACAGGA
rnacentral:rRNA from 1 species